rnacentral:tRNA from 1 species
GCCCUGGUGGCGGAACUGGCAGACGCGCAUGGCUCAGGACCAUGUGGGGGCAACCCCUUGGAGGUUCGAAUCCUCUCCAGGGCA